AGUCGUAACAAGGUUUCCGUAGGUGAACCUGCGGAAGGAUCAUUACAAAUAAAGCUGGUAGGAAGUGGGGGUCUUGAUCUGUAAGUGGUAGAGCGAACAGUACCGGCUGCCUCCCCGAAAUGUCUUACAUGUCCCCCACAGCCUGAAGGCCGAAUUUGACAACCCUUUGAUUCAUCUACCACUUGUUGCUUUGGAGUGCUCAAGUGCCCCAGAGGACCCAACAUCUCUUGGCAUUUAGUGACGUCUGAGUACUAUAUAAUAUUUAAAA
rnacentral:misc_RNA from 1 species